rnacentral:lncRNA from 1 species
GUGAACUUAGUGCGUACAAGGCAGAAGCUGGAGAAAAAAAAGUGGACUUAGUGUGUACAAGGCUGUGGACUUCUAGGUCUCCGUAUAAAUGAAAAACAAAACAACGAUCUCAUGCACCAGGCAAACAAAAUAACAAUCGCUAAGCAUAUAUUUAGCAAUAGAUAAAUGAGCUGAGAUAAGGGGAGCUUUUGUAAAGAUAUAUGUCCACGUUGGAGGUGACGUGGCAAGGCAACUCAACAUCAAGUACGCUUUUGACCACAAUUGCACCGCUUAAAUAUAAUUUGUGAUAAGUUUGAGCAUUUUAUGAGAACUAUGAUGUAGUGCACUCAUCGUGCAAGUUGUUAUACUGGCAUGUCAUUUACUCUUUUUUAAUAAUUGUUGCAAUUUUUGUAUUCCCUCCGUAGCAGUGGCACCUUCCAUGUACUUGAUGUCUGGAUCAUAGUUUUUCUUCUUCUUUGUUAGCCACCACCUAAAAGUAGCCACCACCUAAAAGUACCUAGUAUUCCUAUCGCCUUCUUUCACCAUCCCCUACCCUACACCUUUACCUGAUCUUUUG